AUUAUUAUGAGAAGGUAAAUAAUUUUCAUAUAGAUUAUCUCAAAGUUGUUUUGUUAAUUUUACAAUCAAGGAAUAGGUGUUUUCGUUGACCUACAAGAGACACUGUUUACAUAUUCUAUCCUUUCUAGGUAUUUUAUAUUGUCCAUUAUUUUCUAUUUCUAAAUUAUGACCAAAAAUUCUACCUAUUGACACAAUCAAGUUUACAGUUUUUAUCAUAAGUUUUUAUUCUUAGAUUUUUCUUUAAAUUCAUUUUUUAUUAAGGACUUUAAAAGUCUUAAUUCAUUCAAGUCCCUGCAAUUAUUAACUUUAUCUAAAAGGCCUAGGUUGAGUGAAAUAUUCUUUGCAAAUGUAUACCAAGAAUAUGUAUCAUGCCAGUCCAGCACUUUCAACAAUAUAAUACACUGAAAAAAAAAUAUGAUUUAAUUAAUAGACCAUAAAAGUGUCACCAUUUUUAGAAGUGCACAUUAUUUUUUCUGGAGACAAAUUUUGAAAGAAAUUAACCAAACUGAAAAUAACAUAUUUAAUAAAUUUCAAUUUCUUAAAAUAAUUUCAUUUCAUAAGAUUCACUUUAUUCAGAGAUAAGAACAUUUUUCAUUAUGAUUAGCAUUUUCAA
rnacentral:lncRNA from 1 species